rnacentral:rRNA from 1 species
CACGUAGGCGGUUAGGUAAGUCGGAUGUGAAAGCCCUGGGCUUAACCUGGGAACUGCAUUCGAUACUGCCUGGCUAGAGUAUGGGAGAGGGAAGCGGAAUUUCCGGUGUAGCGGUGAAAUGCGUAGAUAUCGGAAGGAACACCAAUGGCGAAGGCAGCUUCCUGGCCCAAUACUGACGCUCAGGUGCGAAAGCGUGGGGAUUCAAACA